UACGUAGGGGGCAAGCGUUGUCCGGAUUUAUUGGGCGUAAAGAGCUCGUAGGCGGCCGUUCGCGUCGGAUGUGAAAGCUCGGGGCUCAACCCUGAGAGGCCAUUCGAUACGGAACGGCUAGAGGUAGGUAGGGGAGAGUGGAAUUCCUGGUGUAGCGGUGAAAUGCGUCGAUAUCCGCCGGAACACCAGUGGCGAAGGCGGCUGGCUGGAACGCCCCUGACGCUGAGGGACGAAGGCCGGGGGAGCGAA
rnacentral:rRNA from 1 species